GGGUUGUGAGGUUAAGCGACUAAGCGUACACGGUGGAUGCCCUGGCAGUCAGAGGCGAUGAAGGGCGUGCUAAUCUGCGAUAAGCGCCGGUAAGGUGAUAUGAACCGUUAUAACCGGCGAUACCCGAAUGGGGAAACCCAGUGUGACUCGUCACACUAUCAUUAACUGAAUCCAUAGGUUAAUGAGGCGAACCGGGGGAACUGAAACAUCUAAGUACCCCGAGGAAAAGAAAUCAACCGAGAUUCCCCCAGUAGCGGCGAGCGAACGGGGAGGAGCCCAGAGCCUGAAUCAG
rnacentral:rRNA from 1 species